UACUCUUUAUAGCCUUAAAAAAAAUUAAAAUAUAAAAAAUAAGGAAUAUACUAUUUUAUCCUUAAUCUAUCAAUAAAUUCCUAAAAAAUCCUUAAAAUCCUGUAGCCACGGAGCCACCAAUAUUCCCAGAACAAACCUCAAAUCUGGAAAAAGAAAAAGAGAAGAAGAAGAAGAAGUGGGAAGUCGUCGGAAUAAGAAGCGCUUUCAAUUGUUCGAUUUUGAGCCCCAUCGCCCGCUGAAUCGACGCUCUCUCGCCCUCCGGCAGCCUCCGCAGCAGCCCCUCGUACAAUUCCAGAACCUCGCCGACGGAUUCACGCGCGCACUCGGCCUCUUCGUUGAAGUACACAGUUUCUUUAGAGUCCAUCGCCGACUCUAUCUCCUCGCGAGCUUCCGCAAAUUUGAGGUUGACUUUGUCGACUUCCCUGUCGGUUUCGGCGCUGAGUUGUCUGGAAUUGUUGGGGAUGUAGAAGUGGGUAGCUGAAUCUGCGAUCGUCGGGCGCGAAAAUUGAUGGAAUGAACGUGGAUUUGAGAGAGUUGCGAGGGUUUCCACUGGAAUUGAGGAUUUAGGGCGUUGAGAUCUUCCAACAGGGUUGAUUUCAUAUUGAAUAAUUGCAAUUGUGAAUUAGCAUAAUUUGUCAAGUUCAUUUGUUCAAAUGCUCAGUAGAAUCAGAAUCAGUUUCUCAAACUCAGCAAUGAGUCUUCAUCUCUCUUUCUCUGUGCAUUUAUGCAUUAAAUGCACAGUGGGUUUUGUAAUGUGUUUCAUAUUAAUCAAUUUUGCGGAUUUCAUGUA